rnacentral:tRNA from 1 species
GGAGAGGUGCGAGAGUGGUCGAUCCGGCAUGACUGGAAAUCAUGUGUACCCUCUGGGUACCGUGGGUUCGAAUCCCACCCUCUCCG